GCCUCCUUAGCUCAGCGGAAGAGCAACGAACUUCUAAUUCGUCGGUCGAAGGUUCGAAUCCUUCAGGGGGCAC
rnacentral:tRNA from 1 species